UUGUAGUCAACACAUAAUCUAAUCACAUUGUCACAUAUUUUUAGCAGUCAUUGGUUCACAAAUAAACACUUAUCUAGUCAAAAUAUAUAAGUCUACAUCAAUUUCUAAAAUAUUUUGGUGUACCGAUGGCUUUAUCGGGUAAUUAUCGAGUCUUAAACUCUAUUAUGUAGUUCAAUAUUCGAUUAGAUAAUUUAAAUAUCAGUC
rnacentral:lncRNA from 1 species